UACGGGGGGGGCAAGCGUUGUUCGGAAUUACUGGGCGUAAAGGGCUCGUAGGUGGCCAACUAAGUCAGACGUGAAAUCCCUCGGCUUAACCGGGGAACUGCGUCUGAUACUGGAUGGCUUGAGUGUGGGAGAGGGAUGCGGAAUUCCAGGUGUAGCGGUGAAAUGCGUAGAUAUCUGGAGGAACACCGGUGGCGAAGGCGGCAUCCUGGACCAUUACUGACGCUGAGGAGCGAAAGCGUGGGGAGCGAACAGG
rnacentral:rRNA from 1 species